UGGGGAAUAUUGCACAAUGGGCGUAAGCCUGAUGCAGCCAUGCCGCGUGUAUGAAGAAGGCCUUCGGGUUGUAAAGUACUUUCAGCGGGGAGGAAGGUGUUGAGGUUAAUAACCUCAGCAAUUGACGUUACCCGCAGAAGAAGCACCGGCUAACUCCGUGCCAGCAGCCGCGGUAAUACGGAGGGUGCAAGCGUUAAUCGGAAUUACUGGGCGUAAAGCGCACGCAGGCGGUCUGUCAAGUCGGAUGUGAAAUCCCCGGGCUCAACCUGGGAACUGCAUUCGAAACUGGCAGGCUAGAGUCUUGUAGAGGGGGGUAGAAUUCCAGGUGUAGCGGUGAAAUGCGUAGAGAUCUGGAGGAAUACCGGUGGCGAAGGCGGCCCCCUGGACAAAGACUGACGCUCAGGUGCGAAAGCGUGGGGAGCAAACAG
rnacentral:rRNA from 1 species